UAUAACAGAGUUGAUAGACACCUUUUCACUUAUGAGAACGGGCCAGCGACCGUGCUGAUCCUUUGCAGACUCUGAGAUAAAGAAUUGUCCUUCCCUUCCGACAGCUCAGUCCCACCCCUCAUCAUCUCUUAAUAACAAUAAUUAUGGUAUUUGUUAAGCGCUUACUAUGUGCCAGGCCACUGUACUUAAUUGUGCCCGUCUCUGUCCCCAGAAGGAACUCGGGGCCUCUUCUCCCCAUUUCCCAGAUGGGGAAGGUGAGGCAGCACAAAAGGCAGGAAUCAGAACGAGGAAUCAUCUCCACAAGCCCUGGGACACUGACUGAACCGUGGGAUGGAGCGGAAGAAGCCUGCAGCAGGGUUGGGUAGCAACUCCUGGCCCACCAGCCCAAACCUAAACCACCCUGGUCAUCCUGGCUUCUCUCCUCCCAAGCCCUCAAGCUGAUCUGUUCACAAAUGUCCCCCCGUGGCUGACACCAUUCCUAAGUGAUGAACUGGAGAGGCCCGUCAGAGCUGCCCAGCAGGUUUUAAGGUUCCAGUGGAGGAGGAGAAGAUGCCAACCUGCCAGAAGGGAUGGAGAGAGGCCAGAGAACUGAUGUCCUCCUGCUCAGCGAGUGUCCAGCCUGGUAAUUCCAGAGGGAAAUUGGGAAAUUGUUAUCAGCAAGGUGACCCAUUUAACUCCUACUUAAUUCCCUUAAGAGGGGGAGAGCAGGAACACCCCCUCAUAUCCAAGACCCAUGAGAGACAGGACCCCUCUAGACAGUAAGCUCAAUGUUGGCAGCGAAUGUGUCUGAUUAUUCUAGACUGUAAGGUCAU